rnacentral:lncRNA from 1 species
UAACAUCCCAAAAUUCAAGACCAAAAAUUUCUUUUUAAUAAAACAUUACUUUAAACAAAGACAUCAUUCCAAAACAUAAUCUGAGUAUAAGUUUUCAAAACACUUGUUUAUUAUCAGAGUAAACAUUCCCAGGCUGACUAAUUUAUAGUGUGUGCCAUGCGAUCACCCCGAGCUCCUCCCUCCGCUACCGGAAGUACCUGAAAACAAAACUGAAAACCGUAAGCACGAAGCUUAGUGAGUUCCCCACCUUACCACAUACCACGCAAAAACACAUACUGCACAUUCUGGGCCACGCCCGCUAUCCUGGGCCUCGCCCUUCUACUUCGGGCCUCGCCCGCUAUAACGGCCCCGCCGCUCCAGGCCCCGCCUGGCUUCGAGCCCCGCUCGGAUACAGAUCUGUUUCACUUAGGCCUCGCCUGUCACAGGGCCUCGCCCACUAACAUAUAAUAGCACAUAAACAUAUCACAUAGCAUUACAUAAGCUAAACAUAUACUAACGACUCUUGCUCUAAGGCCUCGCCUAUCUCUGGGCCCCGCCCGAGUCCUGCUACUGAUGAGUCAUGGAACCUCGUCCAUACUCCUGCUGAUAGUGAGGUUCGGGCCCAGCCCACCCUCACUCCUUUCCUAACUUGGGCCUCGCCCCUGCUCUGCUGCUACUGAGAUGUGGAACACCAUCCACACUCUGCUAUUGGUGAGAUACGGGACCUCGCCCUCUCUCACCUCCCUACCAGGCACAUACAAGUAUCACACAGACAACAAGUAUAAACUAUCACAUAAACCGCUCCUUGGGCACCCGCCCUCUGUCAUUGGACCUCGUCCAAAUAUCAUACUAGCAUACUGUGCCUAGGGCUAACCCCCGGGUCUUCUACUCAUAACUACAUGGGCCGGCAUUGUGGCCGUAGACCCAUUCAUACAAAGGGAAACUCACCUGAUACUGCUGAACUGCUGCUGCUAACCCCUUUGACCGCUACCUGACCGCUAACUCCGAACUGCUGCUCCGCUAGCUCCCCGAGCUACCAAUAACAACCCAACACUUAGUCUAACUGACCUCCAAAGGUCAACCAAGUCAACUCUGGUCAAAGUCAAUGUCCUGGUCAAAGUCAACCUUCCAGGUCAACCCUACUCGCCGAGUCACCCUACUGACUCGCCGAGUUCAUAAGUCCAGAGUCCUUCCACUCGCGACUCUACUCGCCGAGUCAGCCCCUGACUCGCCGAGUUUACUGAUUCCCGAUUCCUGUCCUGACCAACUCACUGAGUCCUGGCUCGACUCGCUGACUCGAGUCUUAACUCGAAGGGUUUGGGACCACUCGACCUGACUCGCCGAGUCUAAGAACAGACUCGCCGAGCACACGACAAACUUCAUCCAACUCGACGAGUUGUUCAUCCAACUCGCCGAGUUCAUGCCCAUCUUCAUCCGACUCGACGAGCUGUUCAUCCCACUCGUCGAGUUCCUCCUCAUCUUCAAGCUACUCGCCGAGUCCACUCGAAGGACUCGUCGAGUCCACUAAGAUCCACUUACAUGCAGAGGACUUCCGAGUCAUGCAUGAGCUCCAAACUAUAGAUCUACCCUCCCCAAGCCUAUUUCCCACGUAAAGUUGCAAACUUUACGUGUAGAGAGUGAGAUCUAGGCAAAAUACACCCAUAGCUAGGGUUUAGGACCAAGAGACUCCAAUUUCCACCCAAUGGCUGAUACUUUAUGGGAUUACAUACCAAAAUAAACAUGGAUCUGAGGUAGCAACCUCAGAUCUGGACCUCAAGCUCAAGAUUGGUCUUAAACAUGGCUUAAAAGCCCCAAAACUCAUAACCAAGGAAAAAUAUGGAGGAGAGAAACGAAUUGAUACCUUCCAAUGCUCUGAAAUGCUUCCCAAACUUCAGAUCCAAAGCCACUCCCUGAUGCUUCAAGGAUUCCCACUCCUUCUUCUUCCUUAAACCCACUCAAAAAUGGCUAGAAGCUUGAAUGAACACAAUGGGGGCUUAAGGUGCGGCGUUCUGGGUGCAAGAGGCUGUAAAGGAGCCCUAGGAAGAAGAUUAAGAUGCUUAAAUAGGCUCCAAGCCCCGGAUUUAGGGUUUUCCUCGCACAGACCAGACUCGCCGAGUCCACUUGGCCGACUCGUCGAGUUGGUCACUUUCUUAUCGACCCGGAUCCCGCUCCGACUCGCCGAGUCCUUCCUUUGACUCGUCGAGUCCCUCUUAAAUUUAGGGUUUCCUUUACUUUCUUGGCUUUCAAAAUCCUGGGUGUUACAACUCUCCCCCACUUAAACUGAACUUCGUCCUCGAAGUUUACCAUGGCCCACCGCCUGCGAUCUGCCUCCAAUACCCAACACCAGCCGCCUACCUGCGCUGGUCUUCCACCGAAUACUGCACUGAACCCACAGGGGUUCUCCACUUCUUUCCUUGCGCAAAUCCCUUGCCUUCCCAAGGCAAAGUCUCAUUUCCGACUUUUCCUUUGACACUGUGAAGGUCCUAUCCUUCACUAACUCCAUCAUCUCCCUGCUAUUUCCAGGACGGGUCAUCGCCGUCAGCACUCACUGACACUCCUUCCUGCCAACACUUGGUGUCGAGCACCCCUCGACUCAACUAACUGAAGUCCACCAUACGCUGCAUACUCGCACUGCCACCGACUGGCAAUUCAAUUAUUCCCCGACUGACUUCCUGAUAAACCGGGACCGCCCUGGUCCCUACCAACCUAUCAAUGACUGGAUUACCGGUUCCCACCGGUAGCUAGUCCCAACACCAUCACUGGUCGCUCUCAGCGACUUCCAAGGAUACCUCGACCAUCUAUAACUGCUCAAUCAGUCCUGCCAUCCAGGCACUACAAACCUGGGAUCCCCGAUCCCUUAACCUGACACUAAGAUCCCGACCAGGUCCCACCUGCGCUGCUAAAAACUCACGGGCCUUGCCCACAGGUCUCACCCGCCUCUAUCCUUCUAGUUGCACUAGUCUAGUCACUCUCGCUCGGCCUCGCCCACGGGUCUCACCCAACCAUACUACUGAGCAACCCUGCUCCCAGGUCUCACCUGCACCGCUAAUCUCAUACGGGCCUCGCCCACGGGUCUCACCCAACUAUAUACUGGAGCGGCCUCUCCCAAGGUCUCACCUCCCUAGAGCUAUACAGGCAACUCCCUACUACUCUCAUCCACUACCCAUUCCUGAUCCCUACCUGAUCACUAGGAGAUAAGGGCCUCGCCCCGACUCCGCUAACGAAACUACUAAGGAAUGCUACGGCUUACCCGUAGUCUUACAUCACCAACCAUUGCCGACUGCUAGUGAAUGCUACGGCUGCCCCGUAGUCUUACAACACUUCCUACCACUGACUGCUAAUACGAAGGCACCCACGUGCCAUCGACUUCUCAAGAUCCUUAUUCCGACUCCCGCGAGUCCUUCAGGCGAUCCACAAUCUGAAUUCUCAAUCAUAACCAACCAUACCAUCCCACGCGCUAGCUGAUAUGGAGUUUCUCAAACUCCCAACCCUGGAAUCCUCAAUCCAUCAAACGUUGAACUACUUCUCUUCCCUCUCGGAGGUCACGUACUCGUUCUGGGUCUGCGUGCUCCCCUCUGGGCACAUCUGGAGGAUUCUCCCCCACUUCGAUCCUGCUUACCCCUUGCUGCUCAAUAUUCAAAGAAAUCCCGAUCCUUGCUACCAUUCCAUAACCCAUCCACUGAGGAACCCAAGCCCGCCAUAGCUAGGGCUUUAGCCAAUCCAUCACAAUCACUGCACCACUCCGAACUAACGAAACGAACCAAAUCCCUCCCAAGCAUGCUACAGUUACUGCAUCCUUCGAAACCUUCUUCAAUAGAGCACAUCCCCCUAACUACCAUACAAAUAUCCAAGGUAUGCAGAUGGCAUAUAACUCGAUCACAAUCAACCAAUCAAAAUAAAAUACUCAUACCGAUAAUGAUGCAGAACCAUAACAAUGAAAUCAUGCACAAAAUAAAAGAACUGAGAAUGGAAAUUGCAUACCUGCAACAUCCGGCGAUGCUCGCGUCUCCAAAGUCGUCAUCUGGAAAGCCCUGCUCCCUGCUGCAGGUGCCUCUACCCGGCCCUGACGGCCAUCUGCGAUCCUCAAGGUUGCAGGGGCGGGUGCCAUCACCCGUCCUGCUGAAGACAAACUGGGGCACUGGGCCUUCUUGUGGCCCCGCUGGUUGCAAUGAAAACAUAUCAUGUCUGAUCCCUGCGCGGCGGUAACAGUACAAUCCCUGCUAAAAUGACCAGUCCGACCGCACUUGAAGCAGCCAGACUCACCACCGCUACCACUCCUGCACGCGCCCCCGUGCACCUUGCCACACUUCCCAUAUCGGCUACGGUCUUGAUAAUCCCUCGAUCUCGAAUCCGAUCCCUUGGGCCUUUUGCCCGAACCCGCUGAUACCUGAACCUCAUCCGGCUUCCUCUUCCGGAUCUGCUCCAAAUCAAUUUCCCUUUCCCUAGCCCGAGAAAUCAUAUCUUCCAGCGUCUUACAGCUGGACCUGCUCACGAACUCCCUGAUGUCGUCCCUCAACAUCUCAUGGUACCGAGCCUUCUUCAUCUCCUCAUCCGCUACAUACUGCGGUACAAGAAGAGCCCUCUCCCUGAACUUGGCGGUGAUCUCCGCCACAGUCUCAGUAGUCUGCGUCAAAUCCUGAAACUCUCGUGCCAGCUGCUGCACCUCAAUAAUCGGCGAAAACUCCGCCCUGAACCUGGCCGAGAAAUCGCUCCAAGUCAUCGCGUCCAACGCGGCAUCAUCCCCCAAAGCAUGACCAAUCUCCUCCCACCAAUCCCUCGCUCUGUCCUUCAGAAGACAGGAGGCGAGUCUAACCUUGUCCCCCUCGGGACACUUGCUCGUACGAAAAGCGUUGGCAACAUCAGCCAACCAUCUGCUGCUAGCAAUGGGGUCCCUAGCCCCAUGAUAAUCUGGUGCCCCGCAGGCUCUGAACUCUCGAAAUGUCAAGGUACGCGCUCCCAUCAAUGCCAUCAUCUCAGUACGGAAGGCUCCCAGCCUCUCCUCCAAGAUCUCCAGUAUGCCCUCCUUGACUGUGCCAAAGAUCACAGGAGUCUGAGCUAGAAUACUGCGCGUAACCUCAGCUGAUAUCAACUCCCUCAUCCGCUCCUCGAGCUGCUCGGUCCCUGAACCCGAGGCUGAUCCCUCUCCGGCGCCUGAUCCGCCCGCUGGUCUCUCUCGCAAUGUCACCAUGCUGAAAAUAUACCACAACCACAAUCAGAAUACCCAUCAUUGAUACAAGAUCAAACAUGCCCUACCAGGUUCCCGGUCUUGCCUCUGCCCUUCCUGAAUCGAGUACGGAUCCUCUGCUUUCAGUAGUACGGGCCCAUACUACCUUCCACAUCUAUCCGUACUUUCCUCAGGAAUUGCUUUGACUCCACCAGGUCCCUUAACCACUCAUACUGCUCCCAACUCUAUCUCAUCCUAGGCUUACCCUAGGGAAACCUCUAACUCAACUCAAACCAGUCCUCAGCUGCUGAAGGUCUCCUUGUGAUGCCAAUUAGCCAUCACCUGGAUACCAUCACAUGCGACGAGGCUCAGAUAAUCCUUCAAGUAAAAGACUCGUCCCUACAACGGUUGGACUCAAACAAGAGCUGCGCAAUAGGGCCAAAUCCAGCACUCUGAGAUUAUUCAACCCUGAUCACAUGUGACGUGACGUAUCCACCUAAUGGCUAACUCCCAUCACUCAAAAUCCCAUAAUGCACAAAGCAAGCAGCAUUCGGACAAGGGGAAAAUCUAACCACAACAUACUCAAACAAUCAUAUCCACAUAGCAAGAAUCUGAACUAGCAUGCAACACAAACUCAUAAACUCAGGCAUAACCUAAACAGGCUAUCCUACUACUGUCUAAUCAGCACUAUCAUGCAGCUCAAAAGCACAAAUAACAGGCACAUAAGGCAUCAUUCCUAGAUCCUUAGUCCUAUUCUAGCAUGCUGUUCUAUCAACUGAUAAUCAUAACAUAAACUUGUAUGGGUAUUUUGGGGUACUUACUUGAGCUCGGUUGAUUGCAUGCACCACACCUCUUUUCUCUUUUCAAAGUUCUUUUCUUUCUAGAUUCUUUUUGCUUUUCUAAAACUGUUUUUCAUUCUCAAAAUUCUUUUUACAAAACUGUCUUUUCACAUUUUGAAAACUUUUCAUCCGACCCCUCAGUUUGAGUUCAGGCACACCCGAGAGUAUGCCCGAAUCCCUCAAACCAAGGCUCUGAUACCAACUUGUAACAUCCCAAAAUUUAAGACCAAAAAUUUCUUUUUAAUAAAACAUUACUUUAACCAAAGACAUCAUUCCAAAACAUAAUCUGAGUAUAGGUUUUCAAAACACAUGUUUAUUAUCAGAGUAAACAUUCCCAGGUUGACUAAUCUAUGGUGUGUGCCAUGCGAUCACCCCGAGCUCCUCCCUCCGCUACCGGAAGUACCUGAAAACAAAACUGAAAACCGUAAGCACGAAGCUUAGUGAGUUCCCCACCUUACCACAUACCAUGCAAAACCACAUACUGCACAUACUGGGCCACGCCCGCUAUCCUGGGCCUCGCCCUCUACUUCGGGCCUCGCCCGCUACAACGGCCCCGCCGCUCCAGGCCCCGCCUGGCUUCGAGCCUCGCUCGGAUACAGAUCUGUUUCACUUAGGCCUCGCCUGUCACAGGGCCUCGCCCUCUAACAUAUAAUAGCACAUAAACAUAUCACAUAACAUUACAUAAACUAAACAUAUACUAACAACUCUUGCUCUAAGGCCUCGCCUAUCUCUGGGCCCCGCCCGAGUUCUGCUACUGAUGAGUCAUGGAACCUCGUCCAUACUCCUGCUGAUAGUGAGGUUCGGGCCCAGCCCACCCUCACUCCUUUCCUAACUUGGGCCUCGCCCCUGCUCUGCUGCUACUGAGAUGUGGAACACCAUCCACACUCUGCUAUUGGUGAGAUACGGGACCUCGCCCUCUCUCACCUCCCUACCAGGCACAUACAAGUAUCACACAGACAACAAGUAUAAACUAUCACAUAAACCGUUCCUUGGGCACCCGCCCUCUGUCAUUGGACCUCGUCCAAAUAUCAUACUAGCAUACUGUGCCUAGGGCUAACCCCCGGGUCUUCUACUCAUAACUACAUGGGCCGGCAUUGUGGCCGUAGACCCAUUCAUACAAAGGGAAACUCACCUGAUAUUGCUGAACUGCUGCUGCUAACCCCUUUGACCGCUACCUGACCACUGACUCCGAACUGCUGCUCCGCUAGCUCCCCGAGCUACCAAUAUCAACAUAACACUUAGUCUAACUGACCUUCAAAGGUCAACCAAGUCAACUCUGGUCAAAGUC